UACCUGUGGAUUGCUUUGAUGUACAAUAAAUGUUUCAAUAAUCAGAUAUUUAACAAUAAGUUAUAUUAAUAUCAUAUAAUAGCUAUGUAGCUACGUAUUUUACGAAUAUAUUGGUUCUUUUCGGAAGUAGGAACGAAAGAGUUAACAAAGGAAUGAGAUUUAUCAUAAUUUUAUAUCGUGCAGCAACAAAUGAAAGAUUUAUGCUAUUUUUUACUAAUAUUUUAGCAAGUUUUUAAAAACAUCAAGUUACCUGGUGUAAGAGAUAUCUGUGAUUAAUCGAGCUGUAAAUUUAUUCCUGUCAAAUGCAAAGUCGUACAUAAAGAAAAUUCCGUAGAAAUUUUACAUUCUAUGCAAAUCAGAAAAUGUAUCACAAUUGAUACGUGUAUGUAAAACUUGCUUGCAUUGAAAUAAUGAGAGAUUUGCAAAUAAUGUGAUCCUUGUCUAGAUAUCUUGAACAAAUUAAUUACAAGUACAGUAUAAUUAAUAUACAUAUAAUAUACAUAUCUAAAUAAGAGAAACAUAUGUUGGCGUUUGAGAACUACUGGCUUCACAUCGGAGUGCUGCGAUAACGCGGUGCACUUGAGUAAAAUGGCAAAACGCACACUGGGAGGCGACCAAUGAACGGCGUGGAUCGUUUCGCGAGGUGAACUCGGUGCAUCUCGACCGGCGUGCGACUUCGCCCGACGUCGCUGUGACUUCGGUCUCAUGCACACAUACAAACCCAUACAUGAUAUCGACAUGUCGCGUAAAUUGCACACAUUGCUGCAAUACGGUCUGCUGUGCGAAGCGAAAGCUGCUCGCGUGAGCUAGGAUCAAUGUGGAUUAAAUAUGAAUAUCCUCGUAUUCGACGCUAGACGGUGCAGAGUUUGGCCUAUUUGCGUGAAUAAACAGCGAUAAAAGAUAUUCGCAGGAAUUGUCUUGAUUAAAUUUGCGCUCUACAAGAUGCAACUGUAUUACAUUUAAUCGUUUUAUUACUCUGAUUGAAUCAAUAAAAUGAUUAUUUUAUCUCAA